UUCUCCAUUAUUGAGCUAGCUGAACAAAAUUUCAGGAGUCAUGGUUUGAAUAGUGAACCGAAAGGUUGAAGGCAUUGAAGGUUUACGACUCAUGUACCCGGUUUUGAUCUCAUUGUAACCUUCACAGUAGCUGCAUGGGUUUUGAGAUGGUGGAUUCGUUGAUGGCGGAUGAUGAAGUUUGGUUGACAUCAUCAGGGUUGAAGCAUGAAGACUGGGAUGAUUAUUGUUCGAAGUUAUAAUAGAAGGUUUAUAAGAUAUGAAAAAUAUGAUAAACAUCAAAAGAUUUUUUUGUACAAAGAUACUUACAAUGCUAUUUAGGUUGCGUUCAGCCCACCAUCUUUAGCGUUGUGAAUGUUCUAAACUCUUACUAAGGCUACCUAUAUAUGUGUAUUAUUGAUUUUAUUA